rnacentral:rRNA from 1 species
AUGAACGCUAGCGGUGCGCCUAACACAUGCAAGUCGAGCGGGAAUAGAGGGCUUGCUCUCUAUUUUAGCGGCAAACGGGUGCGUAACACGUUGAUACUUCCCCCAGAGUCAGGGAUAGCCUCGAGAAAUCGAGAUUAAUACCGGAUAGUCCCGUAAGGGUAAAGGAGCAAUUCGCUCUGGGAAAGGUCUGCGGCCUAUCAGCUAGUUGGCGGGGUAAUAGCCCACCAAGGCGAUGACGGGUAGCUGGUCUGAGAGGACGGCCAGCCACAAUGGAACUGAGACACGGUCCAUACUCCUACGGGAGGCAGCAGUGAGGAAUCUUCCACAAUGGACGAAAGUCUGAUGGAGCGACACCGCGUGAAGGAUGAAGCCCUUGUUGGUGUAAACUUCUUUUCUCUGGGAAGAUAAUGACGGUACCAGAGGAAUAAGGGGCGGCAACCUUCGUGCCAGCAGCCGCGGUAAUACGAAGGCCCCAAGCGUUAUCCGGAACUACUGGGCGUAAAGCGUCUGUAGGUGGUCUGAUAAGUCUUUCUGUGAAACUUCGGGGCUCAACCCCGAAUAGCAGGGGAAACUAUCAGACUUGAGUGUGGGAGGGGGAAGCAGAACGGUAAGAGUAGGGGUGCAAUCCGUUGAUACUUACCAGAAUACCAAAAGCGAAGGCAGCUUCCUGGAACACUACUGACACUGAGAGACGAAAGCGUGGGGAGCAAAAGGGAUUAGAUACCCCUGUAGUCCACGCCCUAAACGAUGGAUGCUAAGUGUCGGGCUUU